CCUACGGGAGGCAGCAGUCGAGAAUCAUUCACAAUGGGGGAAACCCUGAUGGUGCGACGCCGCGUGGGGGAAUGAAGGUCUUCGGAUUGUAAACCCCUGUCAUGUGGGAGCAAAUUAAAAAGAUAGUACCACAAGAGGAAGAGACGGCUAACUCUGUGCCAGCAGCCGCGGUAAUACAGAGGUCUCAAGCGUUGUUCGGAAUCACUGGGCGUAAGGCGUGCGUAGGCUGUUUCGUAAGUCGUGUGUGAAAGGCGCGGGCUCAACCCGCGGACGGCACAUGAUACUGCGAGACUAGAGUAAUGGAGGGGGAACCGGAAUUCUCGGUGUAGCAGUGAAAUGCGUAGAUAUCGAGAGGAACACUCGUGGCGAAGGCGGGUUCCUGGACAUUAACUGAUGCUGAGGCACGAAGGCCAGGGGAGCGAAAGGGAUUAGAUACCCGAGUAGUC
rnacentral:rRNA from 1 species